UGGGGAAUUUUGGACAAUGGGCGCAAGCCUGAUCCAGCAAUGCCUCGUGCAGGAUGAAGGCCUUCGGGUUGUAAACUGCUUUUGUACGGAACGAAACGGCUCUGUCUAAUACAUGGGGCUAAUGACGGUACCGUAAGAAUAAGCACCGGCUAACUACGUGCCAGCAGCCGCGGUAAUACGUAGGGUGCAAGCGUUAAUCGGAAUUACUGGGCGUAAAGCGUGCGCAGGCGGUUAUAUAAGACAGAUGUGAAAGCCCCGGGCUCAACCUGGGAACUGCAGUUGUGACUGUAUAGCUAGAGUACGGCAGAGGGGGAUGGAAUUCCGCGUGUAGCAGUGAAAUGCGUAGAUAUGCGGAGGAACACCGAUGGCGAAGGCAAUCCCCUGGGCCUGUACUGACGCUCAUGCACGAAAGCGUGGGGAGCAAACA
rnacentral:rRNA from 1 species